AUGCUGGCUUUGGCAGCACAUACACUUAAAGUGGAACAAUACAGAGAUUAACAUGGCCCCUGCACAAGGAUGACAUGCAAGUUCAUGAAACAUUCUGAACCUUA